rnacentral:rRNA from 1 species
UACGUAGGGUGCAGGCGUUAAUCGGAAUUACUGGGCGUAAAGCGUGCGUAGGUGGUUUGUUAAGUCUGAUGUGAAAGCCCUGGGCUCAACCUGGGAACGGCAUUGGAAACUGGCUUACUAGAGUGCGGUAGAGGGGUGUGGAAUUCCCGGUGUAGCAGUGAAAUGCGUAGAUAUCGGGAGGAACAUCUGUGGCGAAGGCGACACCCUGGACCAGUACUGACACUGAGGCACGAAAGCGUGGGGAGCAAACAGG